AAAGUACUCCCUCCGUUCAUAAUUACUUGUCUCGAAUAUGGAUGUAUCUAGAACUAAAAUACAUCUAGAUACAUCCAUUUAUGCGACAAGUAAUUCCGAACGGAGGGAGUACUCG
rfam:Triticum aestivum genome assembly, contig: Triticum_aestivum_CS42_TGACv1_scaffold_112902_2AS